rnacentral:misc_RNA from 1 species
CCGUUUUUUUUCAUCUUAAACAAUUUUCUAAUGUGAAUAUACAACGUUACCACGUAACUUGUGACAAAAAUCGUGACGUUACAUUAAAAGCUUGACAUAUGAAGGCAGUUAUGUUGUAUUCUUUUAAGUAUUUUAAUAUUCGAAUAUAAAACAACACGAUGUAUAAAAUGUGUAGUGGAUUAUAUUAAUAUUGAUUAGGAGUACCUACACAGACCUAUACUGCCAAGUACACUAUACUGAGUACUAGUUUUGCCUCUUCAGGGACCUUUCUAUCACCCCUUGGAGUAUGGUCGUUAGUAACGCUGCCAUUGUGGACUUUCUUGAUGACACCCACUGCAAUUCAUUUUCAAAACGCUGAUGUUGCUGGUCUCCUCGCUGCAACCCAGCGCUUACAGAUGGGACUGCUACAAGGUAAGUGUUCAUCUCACCUCCACUCACUCUCACCCAGAAAUUUUCUCAGUUAAGAAUGUCUCAGAAUGUUUUUCAUUUUUACGCUAUUUUUACUGUGCACAUAUCCAUCCCGAAUGGGAAUGAAACCCGCGACUGCUGCUGUUGAGGCGUU